rnacentral:rRNA from 1 species
CCUACGGGUGGCUGCAGUGGGGAAUAUUGCACAAUGGGCGCAAGCCUGAUGCAGCCAUGCCGCGUGUGUGAAGAAGGCCUUCGGGUUGUAAAGCACUUUCAGCGGGGAGGAAGGCGGUGAGGUUAAUAACCUCAUCGAUUGACGUUACCCGCAGAAGAAGCACCGGCUAACUCCGUGCCAGCAGCCGCGGUAAUACGGAGGGUGCAAGCGUUAAUCGGAAUUACUGGGCGUAAAGCGCACGCAGGCGGUCUGUCAAGUCGGAUGUGAAAUCCCCGGGCUCAACCUGGGAACUGCAUUCGAAACUGGCAGGCUAGAGUCUUGUAGAGGGGGGUAGAAUUCCAGGUGUAGCGGUGAAAUGCGUAGAGAUCUGGAGGAAUACCGGUGGCGAAGGGGGCCCCCUGGACAAAGACUGACGCUCAGGUGCGAAAGCGUGGGGAGCAAACAGGAUUAGAUACCCCUGUAGUC